rnacentral:lncRNA from 1 species
AUUUGGAUUUAAUUUGGUCGCUAAUGGGAAAAGGGGAUUCUGAGAGAUCAGGGACCACUUCUCGUUAAUCUUUCUAAUCCCCAGGACCUAAUACAGUAUCCGGAGCCUGCUGGAAACUCAAAAACAUUUACUUAAUUGAUGGGUGGGUGGAUGGAGGACGGCGAUGAAAGAUCAGCAUAGAAAUUGACAGAUGGGUUGUGGAUGGUGGAAGAUGAAUGGAUAAAUGGCUGGAGAAAUAGCCAAUGGACAGAUGGAGGGAGGAAAACAACCAGGGUCUCUGAGGCUGGUCUCCACUGCUGUGUCCCUGCAGGGUGGUUCUGAGGAUGACCCGCAGGCAGGGAGGACGCCAG